rnacentral:snoRNA from 1 species
UUGUAAUGAAGAAAUAUUCACAUGGCUUUCUUUCUGUUCCAGCCCAACCUUUUCAGGCUGGGAUUGAAGAGGAAAACUUGUUCCACAAGGAACUGUCUAAGGGAA